UCUUCUCUCACCAAAACUUUGUAAAUUUCCGAGGUUCUCUUGUCCACAACAGCAAAGGACUCUGGUCUUUUAAUAGCAUACAAGAUAAAAGGACGAAGUGAAAAGAAUCAGGCUUCAAAGACCCAUUCAAAGAAUACAGCCUUGGAGGACUUACUGGCAAUAUUUAAUUCUAGUUAAAGGAAAUGCAAUAAAAAUUGGUGAAGGACGUUAUCAUGAAUGAAGCGGAAUUAGUAUCCAUGAGGUGGUGAAAGACAGUGGCAGGAGGUGGAUGUCCUUCAGUUUUUCCAAUCCAGACGCUGCUGUUUCUGGCAGGGGUGACGGAGCCCGCCGUCACAAAACGUUCAUCAUGCUCCAGGGCAAUCUCCGAAGGGGGUUCUGUGGAUGGCUCACAAAAGGUCUUGAUUGGAAGAGACACUACAGAGAAGGGAGGCUGGAUAACCUGGCACAAGCCCAGCCUCUCCACGACCAAAAAGCCGAAAGAGUUUGCAACGGUCUCAAAACCCACCCGUGACUAAACGUCGACGUGUUGGUCGCCGCUGACCCCGCCCCUCGGCGUUCACGGGUUACGAGUCCCAAUGCCGACCCUCAACCUCCCGCCUAUUGGGCUAGACAAGAC
rnacentral:lncRNA from 1 species